GAGCUCCGGAAGAUAGAGCAGAUGUGAACAACAGAAAGAGGGCCUCUCUCAGGCUGCUUGAUGAAAACUGAAGCCCACUGGAAAAGUGAAGAGAAUCUCUGCAACAAAGGCACAUCAGACCACCUUGGUUGGAGAGGGACACCAGUUGAGAUGUUGUUUAAAGCUUGUUGGGUAUAGUUACUUAAGGCUUUGCUGUGAUGAAAGACACCUUCUAGACUUGGUAAAGGAAGAAAGACAGAAGCCAAAUGAUCGUACCAAUGAAACACACUUCUAGACCAUCAUUUUCAUAGAUGGGCACCUGGUAGGUCCAGCCUUCUUCCUGUUUCACAGAAAGUCAAAAAGGAAGCCCUGCACAGCAGGCUGCCUGUCCCAUGGAACUACACUGAAUCAUCAGUAGGAGCCAGAAGCUGACCCAGCAACCCGGACUUCCAGCCCAGAGUGGUCACCACAGGCUCCUGGAAAGCCAGAAAGCAGAGGCUUCAGAAUGAGUCUGAGUCCAUCCAAUACCAUGUGGUUUGCUCAAAGAACCUUUUAUUUACUUUAAAAUACAGAUGUAUAGAGAGCUGCGUGCCCUCCAACAUAUGUGAAACAGCCUCAGUUUCAGAUGAUCUGCAAAACCCCAAAUUGUCCCCAUUAGGUUCCCAGGAAUUUCUUUGCCAAGCUAUACUGGACUUUAAAUCCCACUGCCUGGACAGCCUCCACAGAACAAUGCCUGACAUCCUCAGGCUCUCAGCAGA
rnacentral:lncRNA from 1 species